GAUGAACGCUGGCGGCGUGCCUAAUACAUGCAAGUCGAGCGAACAGACGAGGAGCUUGCUCCUCUGAUGUUAGCGGCGGACGGGUGAGUAACACGUGGAUAACCUACCUAUAAGACUGGGAUAACUUCGGGAAACCGGAGCUAAUACCGGAUAAUAUUUUGAACCGCAUGGUUCAAUAGUGAAAGACGGUCUUGCUGUCACUUAUAGAUGUAUCCGCGCGGCAUUAGCUAGUUGGUAAGGUAACGGCUUACCAAGGCAACGAUGCAUAGCCGACCUGAGAGGGUGAUCGGCCACACUGGAACUGAGACACGGUCCAGACUACUACGGGAGGCAGCAGUAGGGAAUCUUCCGCAAUGGGCGAAAGCCAGACGGAGCAACGCAGCGUGAGUGAUGAAGGUAUUCGGAUCGUAAAACUCUGUUAUUAGGGAAGAACAUAUGUGUAAGUAACUGUGCACCUCUUGACGGUACCUAAUCAGAAAGCCACGGCUAACUACGUG
rnacentral:rRNA from 1 species